rnacentral:lncRNA from 7 species
GUACUGUCAGUAAGACUUGAAUCUUGACUGAAAGACUUGAAGAAUGACUGAAGAAGAUGGUGGUAGAGAGGAAGAGGCAGCCAUCUUCUCUUGCGCUCUGAAUUUAACAAUAAUUUACCCUGACUGCAAUGGUAGGUGAGCCAGGCUGAUCCUGAAGACCACUGAAAAUAUUGUUGACAUGGAUCUAUACUCAACUUCAAAUUAUUCAGACUAUAAUUUGCUGCAUCUUGAGCAUCCUGGCUCUCUGAUUUCCCAGUCCUGCAUCCCAAAUGAAAGAGAGAGAGAGAAGGAGGAGGCUAUCGGUGAAUGCAUUUUUCCCCCCAGUGUGCUGUGGAAGAUGAUGGCUUACUGCUACUGCAAGAAAGCAUGGAGCUGGUGAGAGAACGUUUAUUGCCCCCUUUUUACUUGUGCCCUCAGUGCACAAAUGAAAGAGGAGAAAGAUUCCAUCUCUGUUACUGAAUGCAUGAGAUGGAGAAGCAAAGCUGUUCAUGACUAUUAAAAAACAUGCAGCACUUGCCUGUGAGCAGCAAGUACUACUUAAUGAGGUCUGAGUGGACUGGACUGACGGUUGCAGGAAGGGCAAAAGCUUUUAGCUGUUGCACAAUCUGGGAGAGGCUUUUCAGGUAACUUAAGGACAUGUACAUUUUACUGUUAUCGCCCUGUUCAGGGCUGCAUUUUUCCUCACACAUAGAUUGAUAAUGAUAACCAUGCUAACUGCAAAACAUGUUUUGGUUGAAUUUAAGCUGUUUUUACAAACUAUCCCUAAUUGCUCUCUUAUGGGGAGAAUACUUAGUUAUGUGAUGACUGACUUUCAGCAACCAUUCUUUAACCAGGCUUCCAUGAAAGGAUUGAAAGGAUUUAGGAGGUCUGUAUUUGAUUAGAAGACAUAAAUAAUUUAUCCUAAGGAUUAUUUUGUGUGAAGGUAUUAAGGUUGACAGAAGAUUCUGCAGUGUUUGUACGUUUCCCAACUGUUUGAAGCCAUGCUAUUAAAUACAUUCGUACCCAUUUGACAUUUUGUAUUGUCACAUGGUGUUAUAUGAAGAAUUCUGAGGAAAAUAAUACAAAAGCAUGCUAUUAUAGGUUUAAGUAUAAGGUACUCAUUUGAGCACCAGAGUGGAAUCAGCAGCUGAAGCCGCUUCAUCUGUGCCUAGUAUAGACCAUCCUUCUGAAUGCGUGAUGUGAGGGCUGGAAAUCAUGUAACCCUGUUAGGUUCCUGUUUUUUGUCUAGCCCCUUGUGAGUUUGAGCAGUGAGAAAGCAUGGAUGAGCCAGCUUUUAUCUGGGGUCCAUCCAAAUGUAUCCGUAUGUCUUAAGCAGUGCUGCACAGAGGCAAGCGUAGAUUCUUUAUAGGUCUUUAUAUGUAUUCAGCAAUCCUCUAAUAACAUUAAAAAACAUCCUUUUUUAAAGUGAUGACAUGUAACUGAUGACUUUGUUACACAUUGUUAACAAAACAUUGAUACCUUUUGAAUACUUUCUUUUUCAUUUUCUUGAAGACUUAAGAAAAACUGUAACGUAUAAAUUAUGUAUUCAGAAAGGAGCACUUAUUUAAAGAGCACCUGAAGAAUUUUUCCAUCACAAAAGGCUGUCAGGUAAAUGUUUUGUAAAAGUAGUUGCACUUCAGCAGCGUUUUGAUUAUUUGAAUGUUUAAAACAUUAAUUUUCUCUAUUCUGAAUGCAUUUAUUUUGCUAUGAAGAUACACUGGAGCACUUCUGUUAGUUGUAAUUCUAUAAGCUUCAAUACUGUGCUUGUUUUUUCUGUUGUCAGUUACUAUCCUUUGUGAUGUUAGUCUGAAAUUCUGCAGCUUUCCAACUGUGAUAAGCAUUUGUAACAGAUGUUGCAGCAAAGCAGUUUAUGAUAUUAACUCCCUUUAGUAAAUAAUAAUUAGUUGAAUCU